rnacentral:rRNA from 1 species
AUUGAACGCUGGCGGCAGGCCUAACACAUGCAAGUCGAGCGGUAGCACAGAGAGCUUGCUCUCGGGUGACGAGCGGCGGACGGGUGAGUAAUGUCUGGGAAACUGCCUGAUGGAGGGGGAUAACUACUGGAAACGGUAGCUAAUACCGCAUAACGUCGCAAGACCAAAGUGGGGGACCUUCGGGCCUCAUGCCAUCAGAUGUGCCCAGAUGGGAUUAGCUAGUAGGUGGGGUAACGGCUCACCUAGGCGACGAUCCCUAGCUGGUCUGAGAGGAUGACCAGCCACACUGGAACUGAGACACGGUCCAGACUCCUACGGGAGGCAGCAGUGGGGAAUAUUGCACAAUGGGCGCAAGCCUGAUGCAGCCAUGCCGCGUGUGUGAAGAAGGCCUUCGGGUUGUAAAGCACUUUUAGCGGGGAGGAAGGCGUUAAGGUUAAUAACCUUGGCGAUUGACGUUACCCGCAGAAGAAGCACCGGCUAACUCCGUGCCAGCAGCCGCGGUAAUACGGAGGGUGCAAGCGUUAAUCGGAAUUACUGGGCGUAAAGCGCACGCAGGCGGUCUGUCAAGUCGGAUGUGAAAUCCCCGGGCUCAACCUGGGAACUGCAUUCGAAACUGGCAGGCUAGAGUCUUGUAGAGGGGGGUAGAAUUCCAGGUGUAGCGGUGAAAUGCGUAGAGAUCUGGAGGAAUACCGGUGGCGAAGGCGGCCCCCUGGACAAAGACUGACGCUCAGGUGCGAAAGCGUGGGGAGCAAACAGGAUUAGAUACCCUGGUAGUCCACGCCGUAAACGAUGUCGAUUUGGAGGUUGUGCCCUUGAGGCGUGGCUUCCGGAGCUAACGCGUUAAAUCGACCGCCUGGGGAGUACGGCCGCAAGGUUAAAACUCAAAUGAAUUGACGGGGGCCCGCACAAGCGGUGGAGCAUGUGGUUUAAUUCGAUGCAACGCGAAGAACCUUACCUGGUCUUGACAUCCACAGAACUUUCCAGAGAUGGAUUGGUGCCUUCGGGAACUGUGAGACAGGUGCUGCAUGGCUGUCGUCAGCUCGUGUUGUGAAAUGUUGGGUUAAGUCCCGCAACGAGCGCAACCCUUAUCCUUUGUUGCCAGCGGUUAGGCCGGGAACUCAAAGGAGACUGCCAGUGAUAAACUGGAGGAAGGUGGGGAUGACGUCAAGUCAUCAUGGCCCUUACGACCAGGGCUACACACGUGCUACAAUGGCAUAUACAAAGAGAAGCGACCUCGCGAGAGCAAGCGGACCUCAUAAAGUAUGUCGUAGUCCGGAUUGGAGUCUGCAACUCGACUCCAUGAAGUCGGAAUCGCUAGUAAUCGUAGAUCAGAAUGCUACGGUGAAUACGUUCCCGGGCCU